CUAUUUUUUGCCCAUUCUCUAUAGCUUCAAAUCCAGUACAUAAACUAUAUACAUCACAAGAAGAAAUCUAUCACUUAGGAAAGAGUGAAUGCUGGCCCCGUCCCGCCUCCUUGACGGAGAGCAUUAGAAGUGACAAUCUCAGCCAAUCCAAUGCAGCACUGGUCAAUCAGCAUUUCCUCAUAGCCUUGAGUCAGUAUAUAUCUAACGGGAAGCUCAGCGACUACAUGCAGAUAGUGGAGACCCUAAAACGCCAGUGCUGCACAUUGCUCAGCACUGACGCAGGAAGCACCUCUAGUGGCCAUGUGAAUGAC